rnacentral:rRNA from 1 species
GACGAACGCUGGCGGCGCGCCUAACACAUGCAAGUCGAACGAGGUCUUUUAGAGGCUUGCUUCUGGCUGACCUAGUGGCGGACGGGUGAGUAACACGUGAGCAACCUGCCCUACAGAGGGGGAUAACGUCUGGAAACGGACGCUAAUACCGCAUAACGUAUCGGAGUGGCAUCGCUCUGGUACCAAAGGAGAAAUCCGCUGUGGGAUGGGCUCGCGGCCGAUUAGAUAGUUGGUGAGGUAACGGCUCACCAAGUCGACGAUCGGUAGCCGGACUGAGAGGUUGAUCGGCCACAUUGGGACUGAGACACGGCCCAGACUCCUACGGGAGGC